UCUGGCGUAAACCGUAAUUUGGUAGCGGUCCGGACUGUUAAUCCGGCGGGCGUCAGCCCUCUACAGGUUCGAGCCCUGUCGCCAGAGCCA
rnacentral:tRNA from 2 species